rnacentral:lncRNA from 1 species
CCCUGGACCUGUGUCUAAAGGUGGGCAUUAGCAGUCGGCAUCUCACUGCUAUCACUGUGGAUGUGUGGACACUCCAUGCUGAACUGCAUGAGGGCCUCUUCCAGAGCCAACUGCUGUGCCAGGGCCCAAGCCUAGCAUCUAAGCCUGUUCCCUGUUCAGAGGUGACAGAAAACUUAGUUGAGCCAACUCUGCCUGGCCUAUUCCUUCUCCAGCAGCUGCCAGACCAGGUCAAGGUUAAGAUGGAGAACACAAGCGUGGUAUUGUCCAUGAAUAGUCAAAAGAGGCACCUGACUUGGACUCUGAAGCUGCUGCAGUUCCUGUACCACCGUGAUGAGGAUCAGCUGCCCCUUCGAAGCUUCACAGCAAACUCUGAUAUGGCACAGAUGAGCACUGAACUGCUGCUGGAAGGUUCAUGGAUGGGUUGUUGUUGUCCCAGAGUCGCCAACGCAUUGUCUGCCUCAACUCCCUCAAGGCUAGUGUGCAGGUGACCACCAUUGACCUCUCAGCCUCCCUAGUUCUGAACACUUGCAUCAUUCACUACCGGCACCAGGAAUUCUCUCACUGGCUGCACCUGCUAGCACUGGAAACCCAAGGGUCUAGUUCACCUGUUCUAAAGCAAAGGAAAAAAA